UUCUUAAACCUAUUUAUUAGUAAGCAUAUUAUUUACACUGAGUCAAAUCAUUUGUCUUUGUUAUAGCAGGUGUUAUUCUCUGAAUACCUAGAAUAUGUCAAGCAUUUUACACAUAUUGUGAAUAACCCUUAAGAUAUUAUAUGGGGAAGAUAGUAAAAAUCAUUUUGUUGUUUAUUCAGUGCUUGUAUAAUUCAGGCACAAUGCUAAGCACUUUACAUAGAUUAUUUACCAAGUUUGUGCAGCAUAAUAUAACAUUUUGGCAUUAUUUUUCUAAGAUAUUUCCUUAUAUCGUUUGUCUUUCAUUUAUUUCAAAAAGUCAAAGAUUUUUUUUUAUUCAUUUCCUAAGGAAAGGCAAAGCAGAAGGAGUGUGAGUUAGAAUUAAAACAGAAAGAAAGAAAAGGGUUUUUCCCAAAAUUUAGCUCUUCAGUAGGUGCCAUACAAAAAGACCUGAGUGUGGGCAAUGAGGGGGAAUUGUGGUGAAAACAACUAAAACUCAUUAUAUAAAAUAUAAAAUGUCAACAGUGAAAAAACUGUUUUAGGAGAGAAAGCUUUGAAAAACCAGUCUAACCAUAAAUUACUUUAUUACUAGCUGGGCUUGCCUGUCUCAAGGAGCAAGUAAGAUAGGCCUUUGGGCCAGAGGAGGGGAGCAGUCCUAUGAGAGAUCCUGUUAGAUGAACAAAAGUAGACUAAGGAAGUGUGCAUGCAGCCCACCCAGUUCCCAGGAAGUGUGCAAGCAGCCCACCCAGUUCCCAGGAAGUGUGCAAGCAGCCCACCCAGUUCCCAGUCAUUCUCUUUGAAUGAUAUUCCUCCUAUUUAAAUCUUGGUUCCCAGCUGGUGGCACUAUUUGAGAGGUUGAGGAGGUUGAAGGAAAUAAUCACAGGAGGUAAACUUUGAGAGUUAAAAGACUUGGGCUAGAUCCAGUUCACUGUCAUGUCCCCAUGCUUGCAGUUCAAUACAUGAGGCAUCAGCUUGUUCUCCAGCUACCAUGGCUGUUGCCUGCUUCCAUGCUUGCCCAUCACAACAGACUCUCAUCCCUCUGGAACUGUAAGCCAAACCAACCCUUCUAUAAGUUGCCUUGGUCAUGGUGUUUCCUCACAGUUAUAGAAAGCAGACUAACACAGGGCUAGGCCCCCUUCAGGUUGGUGUACAAAAGCCAAGAGCAGGCAGAUAGCUUCUUAGCUUUCCCUUUUGACACCAUUCAUCUCACUAAUAAAAUAAUUGAAUGGACUCAAACAGAAGCUCAAGAUUAAUUUCAUUCAUGUUUAAAUAAAAAACCCUAGGGCAGGUAAGUUGAAAACUUCAACUCUGCCCAGAAGAGACUGGAGAAGAGAAGGGAGGAGACUAUGCACUGAAGCAGGCAUGAAGGUCAGACACAUGGCAGACAGCAGCCACAUGGUGGGUGGGAGGGAAGCUUGAGGAAGAAGAAGGAAUCCCAAAGCAUCAGGGAAAGACAGAAAGGAAAAUGAUUCAAUUCAGAAAAGCCAGCAGACUUACAUCCUGUGGCCUGUCUGCUUCUGCACUGGGGUAGGGGUUCUGGGAAGGAAAAGUACAGUGUCUCACGAAAGAACUGCCUAUCUCUUUAGCAUAGUUCAAAGUGAGCCCACUUGCUAGGUGUGGUCUGUUACCAGAGUGAUUGAAGCAGCCCAACUUGAAUGCUAGGUCUCUAACUCAGAGUUCCUUGAUUGGAUUCUACUCUAUUCUAGUCUAUUCUAUUAGAUUCUGUUCUAACACCAAGGCCUGUAUCAGCCUAUAAGGAAGGCCCUCCAAAGAGUAACAGCUUGGAAAAAAAAAAAAGCAGACAUUCCUGCAAUGGGCAGUGGCUGCCUGGCUGAGCACUGCUUUACUCUGUAUCUGACCCAGAUGGAUUAUCUGAGGGUCCCAGUAGAAAUAAAGUCACUGUUGGAGGUAACUUGGGAGCAGAAGCAGAACUAAUAGUGGGUUUAAGAUUUGGGCCUAGGCUGACUAGAAGUUCUAAAUCCUGUACAGUGGUACCCUCCCCUGUUUUGGGGGUGAAGAGUGCAGAUGAAAGUCAUUCUGGAGAUCAGCCUCAAUCCUGAAGCUGCCUAGGUACCCGGAGUCACAUCACUACUCUAGCACACUGUUUUCACUCAGGAAACAUGCAAAAAGACAAAGUAUACACAUUUCACCUGGCAUAUCUGUCCAUUGACUUUUGCUUUCACUAAUAAAACAUGAGUUGUUAGGAGGCAGGGUAAUUCUCUUUUUUUCUCUUUGCAGUCUGUACAGCAGAACCCAAAAUCAGGAUGAAAACAGCUCAAAGCAGCUCCUAGCUGACUGACAGGGGAAUAUGGAACAGUGUGAAGCCAGAGUCCAUAGAUUCAUAUCUGAAAGGAACCAGCAGGGGAAGAUAGGAGGCUUGCACUCACCUGGGCUUCAUUCAACUAGAGGAGCAUGCUCAAAACAUUCCAAGUUAAAGCCAGGCCUUUGAUCGAAACACUGAGAAGGGAGAGGCAGAGGAUCUCUGUGAGCAGGAGACCAGCCUGGUCUACAUAUCAAGUUCCAGGACAUUCAAGACUACAUAGAGAGACCCUGUCUCAAAGAAACAGCAAAAACAACAAAGAUCCGAGUUAAAUUUGGGAGAGGGGAUACCACAUAAGUGGUUUACAAAAGAGGAGUGCACUCCCACAUUUUCUGAAGAGAUGCACAACUACUACAAUGACUGUCCUGAAGGCCUUAUCACAGCAUCAUCGCCUGGAGGCAUCAUCACCUUUCUGGUUGGACUCCCAGAGGGAGGACUGCUCUAUUACAUAGUUAGGCCCUUGACACCCAACCUGUGAUUGCACAAUGGACUCUGGGUUGUUAGCAUUUGUUCUGUACUAAUGCCAUUAUAGAUGAAUAUGAAUAUAAAUAAAUUGAAUAUAAAUCAUUUUAUAUUUUGGAAAUGGA